AGACGGAGGGUGCAAACGUUGUUCGGAAUCACUGGGCAUAAAGCGCACGUAGGCGGCGCACUAAGUCAGGUGUGAAAGCCCCCGGCUCAACCGGGGAACUGCAUCUGAUACUGGUGUGCUCGAGGACGGUUGGGGUGAGUGGAACUCUUGGUGGAGCGGUGAAAUGCGUAGAUAUCUAGAGGAACGCCAAUAGUGAAGACAGGCAGCUGGACCGAUCCUGACGCUGAGGCACGAAAGCGUGGGUAGCGAACGGGAUUAGAAACCCCGGUAGUCC
rnacentral:rRNA from 1 species